rnacentral:ncRNA from 1 species
UAAAGGCAUGGUCCUGACCUUACUGUCAGCUUUAGCCCAACUUACACAUGCAAGUAUCUGCAUCCCCGUGAGUACGCCCUCAAUCCCCCGCCCGGAGAUUAGGAGCAGGCAUCAGGCACACUUAAACCCUAGCCCAAGACGCCCAGCCAAGCCACACCCCCAAGGGAAUUCAGCAGUGAUAAACAUUAAGCCAUGAGUGCAAGCUCGACUUAGUCAGGGCUAAUAGGGCCGGUAAAACUCGUGCCAGCCACCGCGGUUAAACGAGAGGCCCCAGUUGACAGUACUGUUAAACGAGAGGCCCCAGUUGACAGUACUGCGGCGUAAAGGGUGGUUAAAGCCUGCAACUUAAUAAAGCUAAAUAGUCCCCCGGCCGUCAUACGCUUCUAGGCGCUAGAAACCCAAUAUACGAAAGUAGCUUUAGCAUCACCGCCUGACCCCACGAAAGCUGAGGAACAAACUGGGAUUAGAUACCCCACUAUGCUCAGCCAUAAACCCAGACAUUUUUAUACAACACAUGUCCGCCAGGGUACUACGAGCAUUAGCUUAAAACCCAAAGGACCUGACGGUGCCUCAGACCCCCCUAGAGGAGCCUGUUCUAGAACCGAUAACCCCCGUUAAACCUCACCACUUCUGGUCAUCCCAGCCUAUAUACCGCCGUCGCCAGCUUACCCUGUGAAGGUAAUAAAAGUAAGCAAAAUGGGCACAACCCAGAACGUCAGGUCGAGGUGUAGCGCACGAAGUGGGAAGAAAUGGGCUACAUUUUCUUAUGCAGAACACUACGGAUGCGCAACAUGAAAUAGUGCUUGAAGGAGGAUUUAGUAGUAAAAAGGAAAAAGAGUGUCCUUUUGAACCCGGCUCUGAGACGCGUACACACCGCCCGUCACUCUCCCCUGUCAAAAUGCAAUCAAUAUACGUAAUUCCACAGCACUGACAAGGGGAGGCAAGUCGUAACAUGGUAAGUGUACCGGAAGGUGCACUUGGAUAAACC